rnacentral:rRNA from 1 species
UACAGAGGUCUCAAGCGUUGUUCGGAUUCAUUGGGCGUAAAGGGUGUGUAGGUGGCGCCGUAAGUCGGGUGUGAAAUUUCGGAGCUUAACUCCGAAACUGCAUUCGAUACUGCGGUGCUUGAGGACUGGAGAGGAGACUGGAAUUCAUGGUGUAGCAGUGAAAUGCGUAGAGAUCAUGAGGAAGACCAGUGGCGAAGGCGGGUCUCUGGACAGUUCCUGACGCUGAGGCACGAAGGUCAGGGAGCAAACGGG